rnacentral:rRNA from 1 species
UACAGAGGGGGCAAGCGUUGUUCGGAAUUACUGGGCGUAAAGGGCGCGUAGGCGGCCUUCUAAGUCGAACGUGAAAUCCCCGGGCUCAACCCGGGAACUGCGUCCGAUACUGGAAGGCUUGAAUCCGGGAGAGGGAUGCGGAAUUCCAGGUGUAGCGGUGAAAUGCGUAGAUAUCUGGAGGAACACCGGUGGCGAAGGCGGCAUCCUGGCCUGUUCUUGACGCUGAGGCGCGAAAGCUAGGGGAGCAACGGG